rnacentral:rRNA from 1 species
GCUUCUCUUCGGAGAGGUGGACAGUGGCGAACUGCGUAGUAAUAGAUAGGUGACGUGCCCCGAGGUCCGGGAUAGCCGCGGGAAACUGCGGGUAAUACCGGAUGAUCUCUUCGAGCGUGAUGGCUUGGGGAGCAAAGGUGAGAUUCCGUCUUGGGAGCGGCUUAUUGAGUAUUAGCUUGUUGGUGGGGUAAUGGCCUACCAAGGCUUCGAUGCUUAGGGGGUGUUAGCGCAUGGCCCCCACGACUGGGACUGAGAACUGCCCAGACACCUACGGGUGGCUGCAGUCGAGAAUCUUCGGCAAUGGACGAAAGUCUGACCGAGCGACGCCGCGUGCGGGAUGAAGGCCCUUGGGUUGUAAACCGCUGUCAGAGGGGAUGAAAUGCGGGAAGGUUAUCCUUCCCGUUUGACAGAGCCUCAAAGGAAGCACGGGCUAAGUACGUGCCAGCAGCCGCGGUAAUACGUACCGUGCGAACGUUAUUCGGAAUCACUGGGCUUAAAGGGUGCGUAGGCGGUCGUUUAAGUAGGGUGUGAAAUCCCCCGGCUCAACCGGGGAACUGCGCUCUAAACUGGGCGACUCGAGUAAGAUAGGGGUGUGCGG